GGAUAGCUCAGCCGGUUAGAGCGUGGUGCUGAUAAUGCCAAGGUCACAGGUUCAAUCCCCGUAAGGAACA